GGCCGAAGUGACGUACGCUGCCGACGAAUGCGUCCUUAAGCAUGCAGCCUUGGGAAUUGAGACGUGCCCACAGCAUCACGUGCUUGAGAAGGUAGAGGCGGAAGUGAAAACUCUUAUCUUCCGUUCCCGUCCUUUGCUGGUCACCCUUCCUCGGAUAUUCUACACCAACUGGAGCUGGCGCUGCUGUGUUGAGGCUCCUCGGGACGGCGAUGGAUUGCGGUGGAGCCAGUGAGCAGCCCGGACGAGGUAGAAGACCCGGUCAGCCCUCUGGGACCCCCGUUGCUGCCAAGGGCCAAGCAGCACAGAGCGGUCAGAGGUCCCAUGUCAAGAUAACUCCCUUCCACAGCUCACCCAUACUCAACAGCAAUGAUGCCCUCGGCAGCAAAGGGCCAGGAGCCGCCUCUGGGAGACCGCUGGCUGCUCCGGGGGGCCAGUUUCUGGACACACUCGGAAGUCUGAAUGUCAGACGGAGACUCUCUGCUCCUGGAAGCCACGAGCAACCAACUCCCACUUCAGGAUCUAUCCCGACCUUGACUGGAGAAAACGCACAUCCUCCUGCCAGGAAAGCAACAAAGUCCAGCUCGGAGCUCCGUCCCGGCCGCGUGGACAAGGAGCAUCGAGCGGUCUCCACCCUCACCUCCAUCAAGCCUCCGUCUGGUUAGUCGUUCAUUUCUUUGCAAACUUCAGUGAUUUUCGUUGUAACUCGAUGGUAGAUCCAAACCUUGUUAAGUUCUCUUCAUACAGAGUAUUUCCUCGGUGAGGGGAGAAACCUUUAACAACUAUGUGGAUUUUGAAUAUUGGUAGAUUUACAAAAUUGAGCAGUAAGCCAAGCAAGGACCUACAGGUAGUAUACAGAUGUGUACCAUUCAUAUACCGACUGAGUGGUGUCUGUUCGUCCUUCUUAAAUGUUUCUUUUUGCAAUAUGAAUAAGUUAUUAUUUUUGACAUUCAAUGUGAACUGAUAAGUUGUGAGGAUCUAAAACCACAUGCAUAUCUAUGUAUUUAUUUA
ensembl:lncRNA